rnacentral:rRNA from 1 species
UACGGGGGGAGCAAGCGUUGUUCGGAUUUACUGGGCGUAAAGGGCGCGUAGGCGGUCAGCACAAGUCAGUUGUGAAAUCUCCGGGCUUAACCCGGAAAGGUCAACUGAUACUGUGCGACUAGAGUGCGGAAGGGGCAACUGGAAUUCUCGGUGUAGCGGUGAAAUGCGCAGAUAUCAGGAAGAACACCCGUGGCUAAGGCGGCUCUCUAGUACGGUACUGACGCUGAGACGCGAAAGCGUGGGGAGCGAACAGG